rnacentral:pre_miRNA from 1 species
CCCAAAGUGUCGGCGCAUAUUCUUAAAUAACCGAACAUGUACCGUCGCUCUGGG